rnacentral:tRNA from 1 species
GGUGGGGUGCGGGAGUGGCUGAUCCGGCGCGCCUGGAGAGCGCGUAGGCGGCUAACACCGCCUCGUGGGUUCAAAUCCCACCCCCACCGCCA